UCGAGCGCCACCUCGAGCCCCAACCGUCGU
rnacentral:sRNA from 1 species